ACGGGCGAUUUUUAGUAAAUAAGGACGGCAAAUAGCGAUAGGGUUCCAAAAUCUUAUUUCAUUCGUGAGAGGGAGAUUGAGUAAAUAGGGUGGUUUGGUAAAAGUUCAACCUUUUACAGUUAGUAACUUCGUAAAAAAUUUAUGAAUGGGGGAAAUCAUUUUUAAUCAGCUUGAAACAAUGGAGAUGUGUAGCCACCGGCACCGGAGAUUCCUUGCAGAUGGAUUUCUUCAGCAAAUUACCGGUGAUCGAGUCUGCAACUUGUAUUGACUAGGAUUGUUGCUGCAGUCUGCUGCUUUCCUACUUAAACUCCAGUAAGCAUGAUCCAACCUUGUUUAGUGCAUUCACCAUUUCUUGUAUUUGAUCUUAUGGUAUUCGGUUGGGCUUUGGAGACUUGUUCAUUGAUGCCCACAAGAAAAUGAUGGUCAAUUAAAACCCUACCCGAAAUUUCGUUAAAAAGGACAUGAAGAUAACGAGGAAGCUGUUGGGACAAAAAGGUUGGACUGCUGCUUUGUUUAUCUAUCAGUAAGCUCAUUCAGUUGCUGAUCUGCUUGAGAAAGUGACAAUUAGAAUACGGAUCAAGAGUGUUCAGAUUUAGGAACCUGAUUUUUGGUUAGUGGGGUUCAAUGUAUCAACUGCCUUUUUUUGACUAUUUUGUCCAAUUUUGAACUUUCUCAUGCUCCUUUUUCUUCUCUUUAUGGGUAAAUCUUUCUCGAC